rnacentral:lncRNA from 1 species
AUCCUAUUUUUGUUCUUCCACCCAUGCAAUAGAGAGCGAAUGAGAAAAGAGGGGUUAUUGUUCUCUUAAAAGAGAGGCUUUGAAAUAGGAAUCAUGGAAUAAUGCUAAAUUCAAAUGUUUAUUUCUUUAUUUCUAUAGUGUAAGAAAAAUAAAUUGAAUGAAAUUCGUGGAUUUACCACGACCUUGGUUGUGACCCCAUAGAUAAAAAUGCAAAAUUUCUAUCUUCGAGACCAUUGAAAAAGGGCAUUGAACGAGAAAGAAAUCAUCCACAGAUAAUCAAACUAUCGUAUGCCCUAGAAGUAAUAUGAGGUGCUCGGAAAUGAUGCCACCCCCUGUGGUUCGAGCCUUGACCCAUGCUUUAAGGCCCAACCCACAUGACCACCCCCUUACAUGAGGACCCGUCCACCACAUAUCGGUUCACCCGAGUGACUAUUUUAUUUACCCAACCUAAAAUUCGCUGCCACGGGGAUUCGAACCCAGGACCUGGGGUGCUACUAAGGUCUCUGCAACCACUAGGCUGCAGGCCCCUUCAC